rnacentral:rRNA from 1 species
GUGGGGAAUUUUGCGCAAUGGGGGAAACCCUGACGCAGCAACGCCGCGUGGAGGAUGAAGUCCCUUGGGACGUAAACUCCUUUCGAUCGGGACGAUUAUGACGGUACCGGAAGAAGAAGCCCCGGCUAACUUCGUGCCAGCAGCCGCGGUAAUACGAGGGGGGCGAGCGUUGUUCGGAAUUAUUGGGCGUAAAGGGCGCGUAGGCGGUCGGAUAAGUCUCGUGUGAAAUCUUCGGGCUCAACUCGAAGUCUGCACGAGAAACUAUCUGGCUUGAGUGUGGGAGAGGUGAGUGGAAUUCCUGGUGUAGCGGUGAAAUGCGUAGAUAUCAGGAGGAACACCUGUGGCGAAAGCGGCUCACUGGACCACAACUGACGCUGAGGCGCGAAAGCUAGGGGAGCAAACAGGAUUAGAAACCCUGGUAGUCC